rnacentral:rRNA from 1 species
CCUACGGGGGGCAGCAGUGGGGAAUCUUGCACAAUGGACGAAAGUCUGAUGCAGCAACGCCGCGUGGGGGAUGAAGCUUCUCGGAGUGUAAACCCCUUUCGACCCGGAAGAAUGCCCGCAAGGGUAUGACGGUACGGGUAUAAGAAGCCCCGGCUAACUACGUGCCAGCAGCCGCGGUAAUACGUAGGGGGCCAGCGUUGCUCGGAAUUACUGGGCGUAAAGGGUCCGUAGGCGGUGUAGCAAGUCGAUAGUGAAAUCUCUGCGCUUAACGCAGAGGCUGCUAACGAAACUGCUGUGCUAGAGUGUGAGAGAGGCGAGUGGAAUUACGGGUGUAGCGGUGAAAUGCGUAGAUAUCCGUAGGAACAUCCGAGGCGAAGGCGGCUCGCUGGAUCACAACUGACGCUGAGGGACGAAAGCUAGGGGAGCAAACAGGAUUAGAU